AACGAGCGCUGGCGGCGCGCCUAACACAUGCAAGUCGAACGAGAAUCCGGGGCAACCCGGUAGUAAAGUGGCAAACGGGUGAGGAAUACAUGGGUAACCUACCCUUGAGAAGGGAAUAACCCGCCGAAAGGUGAGCUAAUACCCUAUACGCUAUCUUUUUUUCGAAAAGGAUAGGAAAGCCGGGUCGAGGACCUGGUACUCAAGGAGGGGCUCAUGUCCUAUCAGCUUGUUGGUGGGGUAACGGCCUACCAAGGCUACGACGGGUAGCUGGUCUGAGAGGAUGAUCAGCCACACUGGCACUCAGAUACGGGCCAGACUCCUACGGGAGGCAGCAGUGAGGAAUAUUGCGCAAUGGGCGAAAGCCUGACGCAGCGACGCCGCGUGGGGGAUGAAGGUUUUCGGAUUGUAAACCCCUUUCAUGAGGAAAGAUAAAGUGGGUAACCACUUAGACGGUACCUCAAGAAGAAGCCACGGCUAACUUCGUGCCAGCAGCCGCGGUAAAGUCACAUG
rnacentral:rRNA from 1 species